UCCCUCUUUGUCUAAGAGUUGGACAUGGCUUUCUCUCCCUUUCUUUUGUCCAAAAGUUGGAUAUGAUUUCUCCUCUAUAGAUGUUUAAGAGUUGGACAUGUCUUCUCCUCCAUAGAUAUCCAAGAGUUGGACAUGAUUUUUUCUCUAUGAUCAGUCCAAGAUUUGGACAGAAAAAGAAAAGAAAAAAGAUGAGAUCUCUUAUUCUUCUUUUCUUCAGAUCUUCUUCUUUUUCUUGAGAAAAGAA
rnacentral:lncRNA from 1 species